AUGUAAGCUUACAAGUCAACACCGCAGCCAACCUUGACGGCAAAAUAGCUUGUCAGCCAUUGUCAGUCAGGCAUCAACGUUAAUAUCCUCUGCGUGACAACAGACAGCGCGAUUGCAACAACGGUCAACGGUAAUGUUUGGAUGAUAAAUAGGAUUAACGUUACAUUACGAUUGAUAAGGUAUCGUGUUAAAACCUGAUCGGCGUGUGGACUCGGCCCGCAGGUGCUGCAACCUGAAACUGAUAAACGUUAGCGUUCUGAAUAGUGGAUUAUCUAACCUCAAAAAUGACCGGAGACGGAAAAAUGGUAGCCGGAAAAGGAGCAAUCAAGCUGGCCAAGUUGAGAGACUUGCUGAGGACAGCAACUGUAGGUACGAACAAGAAAGGGAUUGACGCCUAUAUAGUUGGAUCGGAAGAUUCUCAUCAGUCCGAGUACCUGGCACCAAAAGAUCAGCGCAGAUCAUUCAUCUCUGGUUUCAGUGGUUCAGCUGGAACGGCAAUUAUAACUCAAGAUCAAGCUCUGCUGUGGACAGAUGGGCGAUAUUUUGCACAGGCUACAAAAGAACUGGAUCCACCUGAAGCAUGGACGCUGAUGAAGGAGGGAGUCGUUGGCACUCCUACACAGGCCUCUUGGCUUGCUUCAAAUUUAUCCUCACAAUCCAAUGUCGCUGUUGAUCCCAAUUUGAUAAGCAAUAUGGCGUGGUCAGCCAUAAAUGCCAGCCUCGUUGCAGCUGGACAUAGUUUCCUACCACUGGAAAAGAAUUUUGUAGAUUUGGUUUGGGGAUCAGACAAACCAGGCAUGCCAGCCAACAAAGUAGUGGGUCAGCCCUUGAAAUAUACGGGAAAAACAGCAGGUGAAAAAGUAGAGCUAUGCCGCCAAGCUAUGAGAGACGAAAGUGUUACUACACUGGUUGUAACGGCUCUUGAUGAAGUCGCUUAUCUUCUUAAUUGGAGGGGAAGCGACAUUCACUACAAUCCUGUAUUUUUUGCUUAUGUAGUUAUUACGCUGGACAAAGUCCAUAUUUUCAUUGAUCAAUCGAAGGUUACACAGGAAGCAAAGCAACAGCUUAAAGAUGAGGGUGUGGACCCACAAUAUCAUCCAUAUGACACUAUUGGCAUGUAUUUGAAAGAAAGGAGUACUGCUAGUGACGGAAAGACUUGGAUCAGUAACAGCUCCAGCUAUGCGCUGCACGUUAGUUGUGGUUCAGGAGAGAUUAAUAAUAAACUGCAUACCAAUAUCACGCCUAUUUGUGUAAUGAAAGCCAUUAAGAACACUGUAGAAAUUAAAGGAAUGAAGAAAGCUCAUCUGAAAGACGGUGUUGCUGUUGUAAAAUACUUGGCCUGGCUGGAAGAAAAGGUCAAGUCAAAGAGCGAGGAAUCACUGGUUACUGAACUUUCUGGUGCUGCUCAACUAGAAAAAUUCAGAGCGGAACAAGAAGAUUUCAUUGGACCAAGCUUUUGCACAAUUUCGGCGGUUGGAGCACACGGUGCUAUUAUCCAUUACGCACCUAGUCCUGAAACAGACACUCCUAUCAAUGACCGAGAGUUUUAUCUCUGUGAUUCCGGUGGCCAAUACCUUGAUGGGACUACCGAUAUUACACGAACUGUGCAUUUUGGAUCACCUACUGCUUUUGAGCGAGAAUGUUUUACACGCGUUUUCAAGGGACAGUGUGCCCUGGCAAAUGCUAUUUUUCCUACAAUGAUCAAGGGCAACUAUCUGGAUAUUUUGGCACGCAAAUCUCUGUGGGAAGUUGGGCUAGACUAUUUGCAUGGUACUGCACACGGAGUUGGAGCAUAUUUGAACGUUCACGAGGGACCAAUGGGUAUUUCAUGGCGUCUGCAUCCCGAUGACCCUGGUUUACAGAUCGGCAUGUUUCUCUCCAACGAACCAGGAUACUAUGAGGAUGAAAAGUUUGGCAUUCGCCUGGAGGAUGUAGAGGUCAUUGUGGAAACAGCUACCCCACACAAUUUUAAAUCUCGGGGCUUUCUCACCUUUGAGUGUGUCACCAUGGUCCCUAUACAGAGCAAUUUACUAGAUAAAUCUCUUCUCACUGAUCAAGAGAUUGCCUAUUUAAAUUGUUAUCACGCUAAGUGUCUGAAAAAAGUGGGCCCUCUAUUGCAAGGAGAAGCAAACCAGCAAGCCCUGUCUUGGCUGCAACGUGCAACAGUACCGAUAACCAGAUAACAAUUGUUUCAUGCAAACUACACUUCUUACAAUGUCGGCAUAAGGAUGACAUGUAUUAUCAAGCCUACCAAGGACCAUCAAUACGAGCCAAAGUCAAAACAGGUAUUAUCAUUGGAGAUUCAUAUUCGUUGGAUAAUGACGCUUUUUUUCCCCAACAUAAUUUCAGUGGAAAGAUUAACGGAUAUUGGUUCUAAAUCCGAAUCAUCCAGGACGACAUCUCCAUGU